UGGCAGACCCUUUAGACUCUCC
rnacentral:piRNA from 1 species